UACAGAGGGUGCAAGCGUUGUUCGGAAUCAUUGGGCGUAAAGCGCACGUAGGCGGCUGUGUAAGUCGGAUGUGAAAGCCCUGGGCUCAACCCAGGAAGUGCAUCCGAUACUGCACGGCUUGAGUCUCGGAGAGGGUGGUGGAAUUCCUGGUGUAGAGGUGAAAUUCGUAGAUAUCAGGAGGAACACCGGUGGCGAAGGCGACCACCUGGACGAAGACUGACGCUGAGGUGCGAAAGCGUGGGGAGCAAACAGG
rnacentral:rRNA from 1 species